AUUUCAAGUUUCAAUGACUAGUAUUGUGUUUCAGUUAUUUAGUAAAAUUGAAUUUAGUGGCGUUAACCCUUGCUUUUUUGAGAGAGCACCUGUCGGAUGCGAACAUGUGGUUUUUGGAGCUAGGCGGUGAAUCAGCUCUUCAAUUUAAAGGGUAUGCAGAAGACUUAAAAUAGUGAAAAAAGUGUGUGAUUACAGACUUGUGUGUGAGGUUUUGAUUGUGGCGCAGUCAGUUGUUUGCCGAGAAGCCUUGAAAACUGUGUAUUGCCCCCUUAAGAGCAAAAUUUGAUUUUUUGUAA